rnacentral:tRNA from 1 species
GUGCGUGACGCUCGGUUCAGCAGACGUCGCCUUCACACGGCGGAGGUCCCCGGUUCGAAUCCGGGCAGGCCCA